rnacentral:RNase_P_RNA from 1 species
GAGGAAAGUCCGGGCAACACAGAGCAUCCCACUUCCUAACAGAAAGCUGUCCGCGAGGGUAGAGUAACGUAGAAGAAAACAACCGCCUGCGUCUUCGGGCGUCGGUAAGGGUGAGAAGGUGGGGUAAGAGCCUACCAGUCUUGUGGCAACACAAGGGCUGUGCGUCUUGGGAGUUGUAAGGUCAUGUAAACCGACGCUAUGAGAGCUGCUCGCUCCAUGUCGGAGGGUAGACCGCUAAAGCUUGUAUGGUGACAUACGGCUCAGAUAAAUGAUGGACACCUUGAUGAAUGAAGAAUGAAGAAUUCUUCCUG